GGGGGGCUUAACUGCAAGUCGAGCGAGCUUGCCUAGAUGAUUUUAGUGCUUGCACUAAAUGAAACUAGAUACAAGCGACCGUCGGACGGGUGAGUAACACGUGGGUAACCUGCCCAAGAGACUGGGAUAACACCUGGAAACAGAUGCUAAUACCGGAUAACAACACUAGACGCAUGUCUAGAGUUUGAAAGAUGGUUCUGCUAUCACUCUUGGAUGGACCUGCGGUGCAUUAGCUAGUUGGUAAGGUAACGGCUUACCAAGGCAGUGAUGCAUAGCCGAGUUGAGAGACUGAUCGGCCACAUUGGGACUGAGACACGGCCCAAACUCCUACGGGAGGCAGCAGUAGGGAAUCUUCCACAAUGGACGAAAGUCUGAUGGAGCAACGCCGCGUGAGUGAAGAAGGGUUUCGGCUCGUAAAGCUCUGUUGGUAGUGAAGAAAGAUAGAGGUAGUAACUGGCCUUUAUUUGACGGUAAUUACUUAGAAAGUCACGGCUAACUACGUGCCAGCAGCCGCGGUAAUACGUAGGUGGCAAGCGUUGUCCGGAUUUAUUGGGCGUAAAGCGAGUGCAGGCGGUUCAAUAAGUCUGAUGUGAAAGCCUUCGGCUCAACCGGAGAAUUGCAUCAGAAACUGUUGAACUUGAGUGCAGAAGAGGAGAGUGGAACUCCAUGUGUAGCGGUGGAAUGCGUAGAUAUAUGGAAGAACACCAGUGGCGAAGGCGGCUCUCUGGUCUGCAACUGACGCUGAGGCUCGAAAGCAUGGGUAGCGAACAGGAUUAGAUACCCUGGUAGUCCAUGCCGUA
rnacentral:rRNA from 1 species